UUACGUCAAGACUCACGGUUAUUAACCGUAGGCUUUUCUUCUCUACUGAAAGUGCUUUACAACCCGCAGGCCUUCUUCACACACGCGGCAUUGCUGGAUCAGGCUUGCCGCCCCACUUGUCCAAUAUUCCCCA
rnacentral:rRNA from 1 species